CCCUACUUUUGAAAUAAGCGCAACUUUAAUCCAACUUCACGCACCAGCUUCUUCUCUUCUCUUAGCUAGCAGUUCCAUAAGCCUCCUUCUUCUCUCGUGCAAGUCAGCCCUUCCGGCCACCAUCACCGCCCACCAUCACCACCGGCUCCUCUCCUCCAAAGCCCGGUCGUUCUUCUCCUCCAAAAUUCGCAGCGCUGGCCACCAGACUCCGGCCGUUCUUCUUCACCGGCCUAGCUGCGUCUCAAUUUGUUGUUUUUGGGUCAAUUUGUAAUGACUUUAUUUUGUUAAUUUGAUGUGGGUGUGUUUGAUUUAUGUCUGGAGUAAUUGGGGCUUUAGAAAAUUCAGCAGUUAUUUGAUUGUAGGUUGUAUUAGAAAAUUCAGCAGUUAUUUGAUUGCAGGCCAACCCAUUGCUAAUCAUUGUAGGUUGUAUUAGUUAUAGUGAUUUACUAGGAUGUCAUGAACCCAAGUUGGGGAAUUGGGGAAGUUAAACUGGAAUUUGAAUUUUCAGCUAGGUUUCAUGUGAUUGUGCCUGUAAAUGAACAAGUGGUUGCAUCGUAGUUUAAACAAGUGAAACAAGGCAUAUUAUAAACAGGGUUGGUCUGCUUGCAACUUCUCAAGUAGUAUAUUUUCUCUAUCUUGUUCGCAUGUUCUAAAUCAACCAUGACCAUGAGUCUUUUCAGCUUUCAUUUGGCUUGAUGCUUCGUGCCCGAUCUAAUCUGAUUGAAGUCCUUGAAGCAUCCAACCAAAUUGCCUCCACUCUUUUCAGAGAUUUUUGGGGAUGAAACUUCUGUCACUACAUUCCAUUUCUUACAAAAAUUUUAACCGACAGACCGUCAUAAAAUGAAUGUUCCAAAUUCUUGUCCUCUUGCCAAGUAUCAAGUAAUUCUAAGUGACAUUUUAAAACGUUCUAAAUAAUGAUUUGCUCCCAGUUUAAUAUGUUUACGAUCUUAAAAUGGUGAAGUAUUGGUAUUGUAGGCUAUACAUUCACUAGACCCCCUUACCUUGUGCAAAUUUAAUAAUCUUAUAGAGUUAUGUAUAAAUAGAUUGUCACACUGGUGCUUAUAUUAUCUUUUGGAGUUCCGUUGGCGAAAUUGACAAUUCGAUUCAUAUGGAUAAUGAGUCUUAGUUAUUGUAGGAUAACAAUGCAGCUUUUUCAGGCAUUGUGGUGUGUGAUGCGUCAGGAUCUGACUAGUGUAGAGUGUUCUGGAUGGUUAUGUGAAUGCAUAUAUUUAAGCAUUAGUUUCUUGUAUAAUUCAGCUUUCCUACAUGUCUGUAUUACAGUUUCAAGGAGCUAGCUGGCAGCCGUCCUCUGGCAGAACUAAGGACGAGUGUUUGUAGUUUAUAAACACCAGAUUACUGUAUUUCCUACUUUUUUGUUGUUUUUGAAGCUGAAACUCUUCAUAAUUUUGGCUUGCAUCUUGUUUUAAUGCAUUUACUUUUUAUCCUGUCUAAGGAGUGACAAAUGUUUUCAUUAGGAAAAUUAGCUUUGUAUUAUUUUCUUUGAACUUUUAUUUUUGCUCAGGUCAACCUUUCUAUGUCAGCAAAAAAGACACCUCUUACACAUCAAAUUGUGAACUUUUCAAAGAAAACUGAUCCUACAACACAUUAUGAACAAGUAAUGCAGUCGGAAGAGUUUCUUGUACAACUGGGCAACCUGAUUGUGAUUAUUUCAUGAAAACUGGAGACUGCAAAUACAGAUCUGCUUGCAGGUAUAACCAUCCAGUAAGUCGAGACUCUAAGCUGCGUCUGCCGCUGCUUUCCUCUAAAGGCCUCUAUUCCAAAUCUAAAAAUCCCGAGCUUCCUGAUUCAUUUACCGGCAAUCCAAGGAAAAGUGGAGCAUCGUCUCAUCAACAUCAGCAACUGCAGAAUGAACAGUACCCAGAACGGCCUGGACAACUAGAGUGCAAAUUCUUCAUGAAAACUGGCAAUUUUAAAUUUAAAUCUGCAUGUAGAUACCACCAUCCAAGGGACCGAAUUUCUACAUCUUCACCAAGUUAUCUCAAUGAAUCGGGACUUCCUCUAAGACCUGGUAGCAAAAUCUGCCGGAACUAUGAGCUACAAGGUACAUGCAAAUAUGGUCAAAAUUGUCUGUUUCAUCAUCUUGAUAUCAGCUCAUCAAAAAGUUCAGUAGUUCCACCUGCUCCAGUCGCUGAUCAAGAACACAGUUCAUCUAAUGUUGUAGUCGCCACAAAUUUGGAAUUUUCUGCUGGCAAUGUGGACUCAGAUUGGGGUGAUGGCUGGGCAAUGUAACUUGUUCCUAUGAGCGAACUUGGUUUUUUGACAACAUUGCUGGCAUCAUUGUCAAGAAAGGAAUGCCGUCUUCAGUUUUUGCAAGUUGCACCUCUACAUAUGUCAACUCGAAGAAUUUGACAACUGAUCAAGAAGGACUGCUGAAGAAGCUGCAACAGAAGCAGCUACUGCCAAUUCAGAUAUUGAUGUUCAAGAAUCUGAAAAGGAGGUUAAUCCUGAUGCAAUGGAAGAAUCUUCUAAACCUGUAAGUGCUGGUUUAACAGAAGCCGAAGAGUUGGAGAAAUAUAUCACAGUUAGAGAAGAGAUAUAUAAGAAAGCUAAGGAGUUCGAUUCUAAGAUCAUUGGUUUUGAAACAGCAAUUAGAAAGCCAUACUUUCAUGUACGGCCCUUGAAUGAUGCAGAACUAGAAAAUUGGCACAACUAUCUUGAUUUCGUCGAAAGAGAAGGGGACUUCAACAAGGGUGGAGGGCAGCAUAUUCGGAUGCCGACUAAUAGGCGAGAUGGAAUGUUUCUGCUAUAUCAGACGUCAGGUCUAAUAUCAUAGACACAAGCUUCACAAUGGAUGAUAUGACAAGAUUUUUGGCGCUAAAGGUUGAGUUUGACUAAUCUAGUCAAUCUGUCAGGUUUUCAAAACUCCAAGGGAGGGGCCCUUUACCAAAAAGGAGUUGGAUGAAGUUCGAGACAAGUGGGCUAUUUACUUCAACGAUUGUGAACUACCCUCAGUGUAAUAAAUAGAGCAGGCUUGUAGUUAUUCGUGACUCUUACAUUAUUUUGUUAUUUAUCGAUUUAAUUAAUUACAUUUGAAUUAAUUCGGUAAUAUUAUUGGAAAUUUGAAAUUUAUAUCA